UACGUAGGGGGCGAGCGUUGUCCGGAUUUAUUGGGCGUAAAGAGCUCGUAGGCGGUUCGAUAAGUCGGAUGUGAAAUCUCCACGCUCAACGUGGAGGGGCCAUUCGAUACUGUCGUGACUCGAGUCCGGUAGGGGAGUGUGGAAUUCCUGGUGGAGCGGUGAAAUGCGUAGAGAUCAGGAAGAACAUCGGUGGCGAAGGCGCUCUGCUGGACCAUAACUGACACUCAGGGACGAAAGCUAGGGGAGCGAAUGGG
rnacentral:rRNA from 1 species